CUGGCUCAGAUUGAACGCUGGCGGCAGGCCUAACACAUGCAAGUCGAACGGUAGCACAGAGAGCUUGCUCUCGGGUGACGAGUGGCGGACGGGUGAGUAAUGUCUGGGAAACUGCCCGAUGGAGGGGGAUAACUACUGGAAACGGUAGCUAAUACCGCAUAACGUCUUCGGACCAAAGUGGGGGACCUUCGGGCCUCACACCAUCGGAUGUGCCCAGAUGGGAUUAGCUAGUAGGUGGGGUAAUGGCUCACCUAGGCGACGAUCCCUAGCUGGUCUGAGAGGAUGACCAGCCACACUGGAACUGAGACACGGUCCAGACUCAUACGGGAGGCCGCAGUGGGGAAUAUUGCACAAUGGGCGCAAGCCUGAUGCAUCCAUGCCGCGUGUAU
rnacentral:rRNA from 1 species